GUGGAUUCCAUUCAGAGUGAGGAGGAUGAGGAUCCUUCUGAAUUUCUUGAACAGAAAUAUUAUGGACAAGAUAGAUCAUUAGGUGAGGUGUCUUUAAUGGAUGGUGCUUCUAGAAGCUCCCAAAACAAGAAGUUGGUGCUAAACAGAAAUUUCUCUUCAUCUACCCCUCGCACAACGGCAGCACCAGUUCCACGGUCAUUAGUCAAAAUUUCCAACCCCAGUUCUGGGAAGCGAAGAGUGCAAUCAGAAAAUACUCUUGCACAAUCAGUUCCAAAUUUCUCUGAUUUCAGAAAAGAGAACACAAAGCCCUCUUCUGGAGUCAGCAAAACAGCAAAUCGCACACAGGUGAGAACUUAUGCCCGCAGCAAGAGUACAACUGAAGAGAUACCUCUUGCAAAGGAAGAAAAGCC
rnacentral:misc_RNA from 1 species